UGCAGUCGAGGGGUAUAUUUCUUCGGAGAUAGAGACCGGCGCACGGGUGCGUAACGCGUAUGCAAUCUACCUUUUACAGAGGGAUAGCCCAGAGAAAUUUGGAUUAAUACCUCAUAGUAUUAUGAAAUGGCAUCAUUUUAUAAUUAAAGUCACAACGGUAAAAGAUGAGCAUGCGUCCCAUUAGCUAGUUGGUAAGGUAACGGCUUACCAAGGCUACGAUGGGUAGGGGUCCUGAGAGGGAGAUCCCCCACACUGGUACUGAGACACGGACCAGACUCCUACGGGAGGCAGCAGUGAGGAAUAUUGGACAAUGGGCGCAAGCCUGAUCCAGCCAUGCCGCGUGCAGGAUGACGGUCCUAUGGAUUGUAAACUGCUUUUAUACGAGAAGAAACACUGCUUCGUGAAGCAGCUUGACGGUAUCGUAAGAAUAAGGAUCGGCUAACUCCGUGCCAGCAGCCGCGGUAAUACGGAGGAUCCAAGCGUUAUCCGGAAUCAUUGGGUUUAAAGGGUCCGUAGGCGGUUUGGUAAGUCAGUGGUGAAAGCCCAUCGCUCAACGGUGGAACGGCCAUUGAUACUGCCAGACUUGAAUUAUUAGGAAGUAACUAGAAUAUGUAGUGUAGCGGUGAAAUGCUUAGAGAUUACAUGGAAUACCAAUUGCGAAGGCAGGUUACUACUAAUGGAUUGACGCUGAUGGACGAAAGCGUGGGUAGCGAACACGAUUAGAUACCCUGGUAGUUCACGCCGUAA
rnacentral:rRNA from 1 species